CUAGCGCCGCCUGCAAUUCUUUUUCUCUCUCUCUCAUCUAGAAAUGGAAAGUUACAGUGCGUGUGUAAGACAUGCAGUUUUGCAGUGGCAUUUUUGUGUAAAGCAAUUAAUGUUAAGGUCGUAUUUACUCGAAUCUUGCCCGAAUAGAUGCUGUCGUUGAGAACGAGGCUAGUAAUUAAAGACUUCGUGAGUGGAUUCUGUUGCUGAGGUGAGCCACCGCAUUGUUCGUGGAGGCAGCCAUUUCAGCUUUAUCUGGUUUAUUUCUAGUUAUUUCUUUUAUUUUGGGUUUACAUGCCCGACACUCAAACUCAUGUAACUCUGUUAGAUGCUCCAUGGUCUUAGCGUGGGAUGUGGGCUAGAGAUUCUUUUUAUCUUAGCGUUGGUUGAUUUUCAUAAAUCGAUUAUGGAUUUGGUUGGCGACUA